GCCAGCAUGGCAUAGUGGUUUUAGUGUUGGACUACAACUUUGGAGACCAGGGUUCAAAUCCUGACUUGACC
rnacentral:tRNA from 1 species